rnacentral:rRNA from 1 species
UACAGAGGUCUCAAGCGUUGUUCGGAAUCACUGGGCGUAAAGGGUGCGUAGGCGGCGCGGAAAGUCAGAUGUGAAAUCCGGGGGCUCAACCUCCGAAUUGCAUCCGAUACUACCGUGCUAGAGAACUGAAGGGGAGUCUGGAAUUCUCGGUGUAGCAGUGAAAUGCGUGGAUAUCGAGAGGAACACUAGUGGCGAAGGCGAGACUCUGGGCAGUAUCUGACGCUGAGGCACGAAGGCCAGGGGAGCGAACGGG